CUACGGGCGGCUGCAGUGGGGAAUAUUGCACAAUGGAGGAAACUCUGAUGCAGCAACGCCGCGUGGAGGAUGACACUUUUCGGAGCGUAAACUCCUUGUAUAUAGGAAGAAGAUGACGGUACUAUAUGAAUAAGCGCCGGCUAACUCCGUGCCAGCAGCCGCGGUAAUACGGAGGGCGCAAGCGUUACUCGGAAUCACUGGGCGUAAAGAGCGUGUAGGCGGAUUAAAAAGUCAGAAGUGAAAUCCUAUAGCUUAACUAUAGAACUGCUUCUGAAACUCUUAAUCUAGAAUAUGGGAGAGGUAGAUGGAAUUUCUGGUGUAGGGGUAACAUCCGUAGAGAUCAGAAGGAAUACCGAUUGCGAAGGCGAUCUACUAGAACAUUAUUGACGCUGAGACGCGAAAGCGUGGGGAGCAAACAGGAUUAGAUACCCCUGUAGUC
rnacentral:rRNA from 1 species